GCAGUUCAUUUAAACCAUUGCAAAAUCAUUUUUAAAGUUAUUUCGGUUUUUGAAUCAGAAUAUUAAAUCAAUGCUUAAAAUAUCUAGAAAGUUCAUGCUUUUCAUUCACAUUUACACAAUGAGUUUCAGAGGAAAAAGGAAAAGAAAGAUGAUUUUCAUUCUAUCCACAUUUUUUCAGUGCAUCACCAAAUAAAUCCCAUGCUUAACAGCCCCACCUCCUGGUGAAAAAGCAAUGAGAAAAACAUUUUACUGGCAGUGUUCUCUGAUGUAGCUUACAUAAUGGAAAUGCUUUCGUUUUUUGUUUUGCAUGACAGCUCUAGAGCAUGUUUAGAGCUUUUUUCUUUUUUUAAGAUAUAUUCUGUCUUUUUUUCUCUCACAUCACAGGGAUAUUAUACUCUAAUUACUGCUUUUCUCCUUAGUAUCUCCUUUAAAAUAGAUGAAAAAUACACUCUCUGACUUUUAUGCCUCUCCACAGACAAAUCCAAAGCUAGAAAUCAGGAAAAACCCAAUAGGAUCCAGGAACUUCUGAAGCUGUUCUUGAGUACAAUGUCUUCAGGAGAUAAAGCAUGAGACGAUGAGGAAUCCCAACAUGGUGUAAAUCUUGGAGAAUAAAUCAUUUUAUGUCAGGAAACCAUUAUCCAGUAGCAUGGAUGAGCCUGCACCUGCCCUGAGGAAGGAUUCUUCCUGUGUGAUUCUUUCCUGUGCCAAAAUCUAGGUUCCCACUUAAUAUUUUUUUCACAGUAAUCUCCUAAUAGUUUAUUCUAAAACCUUUUAUCCUCUUUCACUGAUUCCUUGCCUCCAGAAGUGGACUUAUAAAAUUUCUAUGAACCCAAAACAGUUAAUAACAAGAAGAGGACUGCCAGCAUUUGGGAGAUGAAAACAGCCCACAUUCAGCACUUGGAAGCAUCAUGAGGACAAUGAAAAGCACCGAAAAGAAGAAUCUUUCUAAAUAUGACCCUCCUCCAGAAACAAAAAAUACGCAGUCUGGUUUAGACUGAGCAGACAGAUGACAAGAGCAGCAUAUUUAGAGAGAAAAGAAGCCUUGGGAAACACUGUUUGCAGUCCCACUUCCAGUACACAUGAAAUUAUUCUCUAUUCUUCUCUAAAAAGAGAGGACUAACCAUGAAGACUCCCUGUGCAUAUGUGCUUACUGCAGGCAUUCCUUUAUUCAGAAGAAAUCCACAAAGUUUAUAAGGAAAAAAUUGAAUAUGAAUAAAUGCCCCAAAAUAAUUGCUUUCAAGCCUCACUUAAAUAUUUGCAUGGGUGAAUUAAACUUAAAUAGACUUUCUGCAUGAUGAAAAGAAAGGGCAUGAUAUCUUCUACUAUGCAGCAGAAUGCAUUCUCUCAAAAACAGAAAACAAUUUCUUUUUGAAAUAUCAGAGCCUCUCCACAAGCCCUUGCAUUCCUUUAGACACAAACACCUCUCUCGAAAAGAUAUUAUUAUUUUUUUUUUAAUUUUUUUAUGCUGUCCGAAAUCAACACAUCUUGAAUUUUAAGGAUUCUAAUGUUGGUGUGAUCAUUGUGGCUCAAAUAAAACAUGAAUUAUUUUAAUCAGCCCUCCAAUCUUCUGCUGACAUCAUGCUCAAAUAUGAUACAGAGCUUAGAAAAGAAGUAGACAGAUGAGCAAGUUGGAUUCAGGUAGAGAUUUCUUUGGUACUGCUGGAGAUGAGAGCAGUGUCCCCCAUGACAAGGACUUAGUCUAGAUGUGGGUGUACUGGUAUUACCAUCAGUAAUUAGCCACUUCUGAGUCUUUCAAGUACCCUGCAACACCUGAAAGCUGUAACACAAAUUUACCUGCGAUAUUUAUUCUGAAGUGCUAGUUGUUCCCCACUUGUGCCUUGGCCAUGGUCUGAUUGAUUUAGCAACAAAAAGCAUCCUGUGUUUCACUCACAGAGAAAGUGAACAAUAUUUCCAGGCAGAGUUAAGUAGAUAUUCCUAAUUCAGUUGUCCUGAUCUGGGAAAUGAACACUUUUCUUUAGGUAGAGACUAUUUUUCUUUACAGCUCCUUUGCAAUGUCAUGGCCAUUCACCCACCAAGCUCUGCAGAGGUCAAGGACUGGUGGCACACUCUCCAUGAGGAUGGAGGUGCCUCUCUGACAUUGACACAGUCAAGUCUGUCAUUGCUCAUUCACCUCCUGCACCCUACAGCAGCUCUCCAGGGUCACACAGGAGGUGUGGAAGAAACCCAAGGAUUAAAUGAAAAGCUGGGUUUUAGCUCUGUUUCAAGCUUCAAACCAGAAAACAAACAUUUCCCUUCUUGACCUAUUUUAAAAGUGCAAGUCAACAGCUGAAGUUCUUUCACAUAUACACAAGUACAACAGGAAACGGGAAUUGGAAAUUAAGAUUAGCAUUCCUACUGCUUUCAUUUUUUUCCUUUCUUUGUCUUCUAGAUAAAAAAAAAAAA